GAGACAUGAGUUUUUUUUUUAUUUUUUAUAAGCAAGAAAUAUAUUAAUUGAGUACCAGGGGUACUCUUGCUUGAUUACAAAAUCAACAAGGAAAUCUUGAAUACAAGAAACAUUCCUGACCAACAACGACUUAACCAAGGAAAUAAAUGAGAUUCUUACAGAAAUCAUACAAAUUGCAGUUGGGCUUAGGAAUGUCUCAUAUGAGAGACCAUUUCCA
rnacentral:lncRNA from 1 species